rnacentral:tRNA from 1 species
GGGCGAGUAGCUCAGCUGGUUAGAGCGCUUCCCUUACAAGGAAGAAGUCACAGGUUCGAGUCCUGUUUCGCCCA